CUGCAGGGUAAAAUACAGCUAUCAGCACAGGGGCCAUAGUCGGAAGCCAGUAGUCCCCUCCAGGCACAAGUGGCGAAGGGCACUUCGUCACAAUUACCCCAUGGCUGUAUUAGGUUCUAGCAGACACAUUUAUAUAUAAAUAAGAUAUAUUAAACAAAUACCCCUGGCUAUAUGAGAUACUAGCAGACAUAUUCAUAAAUAAAUAAAAUAUAUUAAAUAAAUACCCC